GCUAGCGAAUUUGACUCCAAAAAGGCCUC
rnacentral:sRNA from 1 species